rnacentral:rRNA from 1 species
AUUGAACGCUGGCGGCAGGCCUAACACAUGCAAGUCGAGCGAGCGGCGGACGGGUGAGUAAUGUCUGGGAAACUGCCUGAUGGAGGGGGAUAACUACUGGAAACGGUAGCUAAUACCGCAUACCAUCAGAUGUGUUCAGAUGGGAUUAGCUAGUUGGUGGGGUAACGGCUCACCUAGGCGACGAUCCCUAGCUGGGCUGAGAGGAUGACCAGCCCCACUGGAACGGAGACACGGCCCAGACUCCAACGGGAGGCAGCAGUGGGGAAUAUUGGACAAUGGGCGGAAGCCUGAUGCAGCAAUGCCGCGGGUGUGAAGAAGGCCUUCGGGUGGUAAAGCACUUUCAGCGGGGAGGAGUUACCCGAAGAAGAAGCACCGGCUAACUCCGUGCCAGCCGCCGAGGUAAUAC